AGGUUAUCUUCGGAUGGCUU
rnacentral:misc_RNA from 1 species